ACAAAAACAUCUUUUCUUGUUAGUUUCUGAAGUAUGGCCUGCCCGCUGACGUAUUUUGAGUUGAAGGGCCGCGGUAUUUUGACCGUGCAAAGGUAGCAUAGUCAUUAGUUCUUUAAUUGUGAUCUGGUAUGAAUGGCUUGACGAGACAUGGGCUGUCUUGGGUGUGAAUUUGUUGUUGAAUUUGGAGUUUAAGUUAAAAUUCUUAGAUGUUUUUAUGGGACGAGAAGACCCUAUAGAGUUUGACAUUUGAUUGCGUAUUUCUUGUUGUUUGUUUUGAAUUUUUGUGCAUCUCUUGUUUUGUUGGGGUGAUGGGAGGAAUUUAUUUAACUCCUCUUUUAUGUGGUAUAUUGAUUUGUAAUUGUUUUGAUCCAUUUAUUUUGAUUGUAAGAUUAAAUUACCUUAGGGA
rnacentral:rRNA from 1 species